ensembl:snRNA LOC120094870 U6 spliceosomal RNA
GUGUUCACUUUGGCAGCACAUAUACUAAAAUUGGAAUGAUACAGAGAAGUUACAAAGGUUCUUGCACAGGGAUGAAAUUUCUGAACAAAAUAGAAUCAACAAAACC